AUGGCAUGGAUGUUGCUGCUAUUGCUAUUAGCUGCAUGGGCAACCACUGCCUCUAGCUCCUUGGUGGCGAAGCCAGGCUGCCAGGCCCGAUGCGGCGGCAUCGACGUCCCCUACCCGUUCGGCAUAGGCGCCGGCUGCUUCCGCCCGGGCUUCGAGAUCGUCUGCAACAACAUGACGCCGUUUUUGCCGGACGCCACCGUCGCAGGCCGAAAGCGCCUCGCCGAGCCCGUGCGCGUGCUGAGCCUGAACCUGACCGUGAAAGCGGGCGCGCGGGUCCAGGUGCAGCUGCCUGUGGCGUACAUGUGCUUUGACGCUGCCGGCAACGAGAUCGCCGGCAGCUUCGACGGCAGGCUGACGGUCAACAAGGAGCAGGUGUACCGCAUCUCCAACACCUUCAACGAGCUCUUCGUCCUUGGCUGCAACACCCUCGCCUACGCCGGCAGAGGAUCGCGUUCGAACGCAACAUCGGACGGCUACUAUAGCGGGUGCGUGGCCUACUGCAACAAAAAACAGAGGGCGCGGAACAACAAGUGCGACAGCAUCGGAUGCUGCCGCGUCAACAUCUCACCGUUGCUCACCAACACCAGGAUGAGCUUCGGGAAAUGGUCGGAAGCGCCUGUUGACAUCAGGCGCCCCUGCAGCUACGCCUUCAUCGUGCAGAAGAACCACUACGUCUUCAAGGCCGCCGACCUGAACAUGACGGCGGAACAGGCCAAGCGAUGGAGCAUGCCACUUUGGCUCGACUGGGCCAUCCGCAAUGGUAGUAACUCUCUGCGGUGCCCCCUGCUGAGAAAAACGUCAGAAUACGUUUGCUUGAGCAACCACAGCAAGUGCGUGAAUUCCACCAAUGGGGCGGGAUAUUUCUGCAUAUGCGAGGAAGGCUACGAGGGCAACCCAUACCUUGACAACGGAUGCACGGAUAUCGACGAGUGUAAACAGCCACAAUUAUAUGCAUGCUUCGGCAAGUGUACCAACAGAGAGGGAUCUUUCGAGUGCACGUGCUCACACGGAUACCAAGGAAACGCCACCCACAAAGAUGGUUGUGUCCAGUCCAUAAACACAGGUUUAAUCAUUGGCCUAUCAGUUUCUAGUGGCCCAACUAUUCUAAUUUUGUUUCUUGCCUCAAAGAUAAUAGUACGCAAGCUUAAGCAUCAGAAGGAACAGAAGUUGAGACAAAAGUUCUUCAAUCAAAAUCGUGGACAAUUGUUGCAAAAAUUGGUAUCUCAUAGGUCAGAUAUUGCAGAGAGGAUGAUCAUCCCACUAAGGGAUCUAGAAAAGGCCACAAACAAGUUCCAUCCAACUCGUAAGCUUGGUGGUGGAGGGCAUGGUACCGUAUACAAAGGAAUUUUAUCAGACUUGCAUGUUGUUGCAAUCAAAAGGUCAAAUAUUGUGGUCAAGAGUGAGAUUAACGAGUUUAUAAAUGAAGUUUCCAUACUCUCACAGAUCAAUCAUAGGAACAUUGUAAAGCUUUUUGGAUGUUGUCUUGAGACAGAAGUCCCCUUGUUGGCUUAUGAGUUCAUUUCCAAUGGAACCCUAUGUGAUUAUCUUCACAAGAAACCACUAAGAUCAGUACCUUGGCGAGACAUAUUAAGGAUUGCAGUAGAAAUUGGCAAAGCCCUUUCUUACCUUCACUCGGGUAUUUCUGUCCCCGUAAUACACAGAGAUAUAAAGUCCACCAAUAUACUUCUUGAUGAUGCUUUGACAGCGAAGGUGUCUGACUUUGGAGCUUCAAGGUACAUUCCUAAAGAUAAAACAACAAUUACAACAGUGGUGCAGGGAACGUUGGGAUAUUUAGAUCCUAUGUACUUUUAUUGUGGCCGUCUAACAGAAAAAAGUGAUGUUUAUAGCUUUGGAGUUAUUCUCAUUGAGUUGCUUACAAGGAAGAUGCCAAUUAUAUAUAGAUCCUCCACUGGUGAUGGGCUAGUUGCACAAUUUGUUGAACUACUUGCAGAAGGUAAAUUGGUAGAAAUACUAGAUCCGCAAGUAAUUGAGGAGGGUGGUACCCAAGUUGAAGUGGUAGCUUCUCUAGCUAUGUCGUGCAUAAAGCUAAGAGCAGAGGAGCGACCAACUAUGAGGUCAGUGGAGAUGACACUAGAAGCACUUCAAGGACCCAAAGAACAUUUUCGGAUUCGGGAUGCAACAUACGAGGGGAGUUAUUCGGCAAUGAGAUAUACACCACCAGUAAGAAGGGCAAGCUUAGAGGACACGAGCAGGCAAUAUAGUCAAGAAGAAGAGUUUGUGUUGUCCGCAAGCUACCCUCGAUAG
rnacentral:rRNA from 1 species